AUUGAACGCUGGCGGCAGGCCUAUCACAUGCAAGUCGAACGGUAACAGGAAGAAGCUUGCUUCUUUGCUGACGAGUGGCGGACGGGUGAGUAAUGUCUGGGAAACUGCCUGAUGGAGGGGGAUAACUACUGGAAACGGUAGCUAAUACCGCAUAACGUCGCAAGACCAAAGAGGGGGACCUUCGGGCCUCUUGCCAUCGGAUGUGCCCAGAUGGGAUUAGCUAGUAGGGGGGGUAACGGCUCACCUAGGCGACGAUCCCUAGCUGGUCUGAGAGGAUGACCAGCCACACUGGAACUGAGACACGGUCCAGACUCCUACGGGAGGCAGCAGUGGGGAAUAUUGCACAAUGGGCGCAAGCCUGAUGCAGCCAUGCCGCGUGUAUGAAGAAGGCCUUCGGGUUGUAAAGUACUUUCAGCGGGGAGGAAGGGAGUAAAGUUAAUACCUUUGCUCAUUGACGUUACCCGCAGAAGAAGCACCGGCUAACUCCGUGCCAGCCGCCGCAGUAA
rnacentral:rRNA from 1 species